CAACCCUGGACCCUGUGGGCUAUAACCAUGCUGUAGUGUGUGUAAACAUCCUACACUCUCAGCUGUGAGCUCAAGGUAGCUGGGAGAGGGUUGUUUACUCCUUCUGCCAUGGAAAACAUCAGCUGAAGAAGGAACAGUCUC
ensembl:miRNA MIR30C1 microRNA 30c-1